UUCUUUGGCGCUCAGCCUUCUUUGUGGUCCAACUCACAUCCGUACACGACUACUGGAAAAAUCAUAGCUUUGACUAGACGGACCUUUCUUAGCAAAGUGAAAUCUCUGCUUUUUAAUACACUGCCUGCUUUUGGCAAAAAGUAUCCCUCCUUUAAAGCUGGUCAGAAAUUCAUCACUUCUCUAAUGUAGAACCAAAUCAAUGCCUCUAAAUUGCCUCUAAGCAUCUGAAAAGUUUCAAAAAGAAGUUUGAAAAAAAAUCUUAUUAAACAGGAACUGUGGACAGUGUUUGCCUUCAUAGAAGGAAAUGGUGACUGGGAAAUUUCCCCCCAUAUACCAUUCUGUAGCUUUUGAAUUGGAACUGUACAAAUGUAUCUUAUUUUACAGUGAAAGAAAAUGAAAACAAAAACUUCCUUUUAAAACUUGUCAAAAUUCAAGAUUCCUGGGAUUUCCCUGGCAGUCCAGUGGUUAAGACUGUGCUCCCAAUGCAGGGGACAUGGGUUUGAUCCCUGUUCAGGAAACAGCUCCUGCUUGCAGCAGGGCCAAAAAGAAUACACUUAAUACAUAAAAAUACAUAAAGAAUACAUUUAAUACAUAAAAACAAAAAAUAAUAAUAACAGAGUACCCUUUAGAUUCUUUGGUGGUUCAGUCUUGCCAUCUUCUUGUGAGUGCAAUUUUUCAGAGACUUAAGCCUCCUUCCCCCCCUCCUUCACCCCGCCCCCAGUGGUGGGACCAGUUUAGCCAGAUUUCACCCUAUCUGGUCAGAAACCCCAGGUUACUCCGAGAGAGACUAAAGGCUGGAUGAAGACUGGAAGGCGUGGUAGCUGCUCAAACACCCUGGAAGACUCUUCCAUACUACCUCAGGGAUCAUUCCUCAAUGCUGAUACUCCCAGGCCAAGAAGUUCUCUGGGAGCCGACACCAGUCCUGGGACAGCAGCUGUUGCACUCGGCUCCCGCAUCGGAAAGAGGAGCCCUGGGACCAGCUGCUGACCUGACCUCAGCUCCAUCAUUGCCCAGGACGUUCAGAUCUGACCUAUCCAGGAGCCAGACUGGAGGGACUAGAAUCUGCUCAGAUCUUAAGCCUAGGAAGUACGGUUGGGAGGGUAUCGCCUGCCCCUUGGAGUUCAGGGAGAAGAAAUCAUUUUGUGAUGCUUAAACAUUUGGAAGGAAAAAACAAAACAAAACAAAACAUGUUGAAGAGUGAAAGAGCCAUUCUACCGCAGGCUUGGGUUCAGUGUGUACUUUGGACCCUGGGCUGGCUCCCUGGGUCUCAGGAUAGCAGGCGGGUCCAAGUCCCUCGUAGGUCCCUUUCUUUCCUGGACACAUUAAUUGCUUGGCUGCCUGCCACUGGCAAGUGUCACCCGAGCUCUUGGCAGGCUGAACACUAAUCCUACCUUCCACCUGGGAGACUGGGAGGGAACCUGCUCUCCAACCUCCUCCCAAGGCUGCAACCCCCACUCACCCCCACUGAUGGCUGUAGCUGCUACCCAGGAGGCCCCUGCUGGUCUCCUGAGACCCAGUGAGCCAGCUGAAAGUGAAAAAGUGAAAGCGUUAGUCGCUCAGUCCUGUCCGACUCUCUGGGAUCCCAUGGACUGUAGCCCUCCAGGCUCCUUUGUCCAUGGAAUUCUCUAGGCAAGAAUAGUGGAGUGGAUAACCAUUCCCUUCUCUAGGGGAUCCUCCCAACCAACGAACCGAUCUCAUGUCUCCUGUGUCUCCUGCAUUGCAGGUGGAUUCUUUACCAUCUGAGCCACUACAGAAGCCCAGGGAGCCAGCUGAGGGAAGGAUAAUUGGGAAAUGUGAACUUCAGAGGUGAUCCUUUCCAAUCAGGAGUUAAAUUGCCCUCACUUCCUCUUGAAAAGCAACCCGGCUGGAUCAGCACCUUGGAGACAGACUCAGGACCUGACCAUCUGUGUACCACCUGUGUGUGCCCUGUAGCCAAAGACCACCAAGAACAAAGUUGGAUUUACUGAUCUUUUGCAGGGAGGGAGGCUGUGUACAUGCACAGAUAAGGAGUCAUGGGGCCUCUCAGCACAAGGGACUUAGAACAGAACAUGGACUUGUGUUAAGUGGUAUGUGGGAAGUUUCAAGGAAGCAGGGGUUUGCUCUGGAUUGAAUGGUGUCAGGAAGCAGGAUUCUACCACCAGGAACUUUGGUUUUUAUACAGAAGGUGAGAUGAAGGCUUCAGAGCUAAAGCCAUGGUUGUGAAGAGACAGCUGUCACUUGGGUUAGUUGAGUGAUUUCUCUCGUGUGGGCAGAGGCUUAGUUUGUGUCUCUGCUCAGACAUGACUACAGAAUGGUCUUGUUUUGUCAGGCUUGUCUGAAGUUGGUGAUGGGUGAGACUAGCUCUGUUUGAGAGGAGAACGUGGCACCUAGCUCGGAGUGCCUGGCUGGUAGGAGCUUGAUGCUAGGGACUACUUUCGUCUUUGUCAUUACAAAGGCAAAGCUUUGAUCCUCCAGUUCCAGUCUUCUUUAUAUCCUAGUCUUGUAUGUUCAUGAUGGGAUAAGGAUCCUCACAUUUGAAGAGGAGGAGGAGGGAUGGAUGAGAAUGAGGAGGGGGAUUUGCUUAUGGUGGGGGUGGGGUAAAACAGUGUCUUAGCUUAGAAGAUUCAUAUCUCUGUAACCUAAAUGGAUCCAGGAUUCCAUUCCUCUGCCUGAACAGAAUGAUAUUCCAAAACCAUGUUAAGCAGACAAGGGAAGGAACUAGGAUAACCUUUGUUAUUUGUGAAUUACUGGAGGAAGUUCCAGGUCGAGGGUGGGGCAGGCAUAAGAAGUGGCCAUUCUUAUUACAGAUAACCCUCACUUAGAAAGGUAAUCCACUCUCUUUGGAAACACAGGGUGAUUGUACAUUCCAGUUUUCUGGUAUAUCCUUGAUUUAAGUAAUAUAACUAUUUGAUACCCUACAUAUAGUUUGGCUACAUAUUCUAUUGUUCAUUAUAAUUUUUUUUAGAAGUGCAAGAGAUUAACUGAGGGAAACACCUGUGAAAGAUCAAGGGCUCAAGGGAGCAGGAGCUGGCAGGGAGAGGCGUCUUCAAUACAAGUCUGACCCUGUGUGAAGAACAGCAGGGGGAAAAGGGGACUGGGUAGGAAGAACCCCAGACUGCAGCACACUUCUGAGACAAUCAAGGCCAGGACUUUGGGGAGUUCCCAGGCUACACUUUCCACUUAGAGGGGCCACCUCUCCAGCGGGAAUGGUUCUGUACUCAGUCACUGCCCAGAGGCAGCCAGGGAAAGACUGGCCCCUGCCCCUCCGCAGACAGCCCAGGCUGUCAGUCAACUCCUGCUUGGCAGCAGGCUCCCUUAGAGCCGUCCAAGCUGCACCCUCCACAGCCAUACGUGUCUUCGGUCAGCAAUACCUUUAUUUUUUUGAGUCACUGAAGCAGAUCAAGUCCUCCCAGAAGCAGAGGCCAAGACAGGAUUAGACAUGCAAAAGAUUUGUUAACAGAAAUGCCUGCAGAGGAUAAAAGGGGGAAGAGAGGACAGGGGGAAAAAACCUAUACAAAUGUGACUUACACUGUGAAUAAAUGCGCUUCUAUAA